AAGAUUAGUGAUGCUGAAGCCCAAAUAUUUGUUGGAAGAUGCUUGAAUACUGCUUCUGAAAGGCCAUCUGCUUCUGAGCUAUUGAGGGAUCCAUUCCUUGCUGUUGAUGAGGAUGAACAAUUAUCUCCUGUCAUAAACUUGCCAUUUCAUCAAAAGUUUACACCAAAUGGGGAACAAAAUGAAGUACCUUGUCAGUCUGAUGAUUCAGUACUAGGUGGCACAGACAUGAUAAUAACAGGAACAAUGAAUCCUGCGGAUGAUACCAUCUUUCUCAAAGUACAAAUUUCUCAAAAGAAUGGUAAAUUGCUUCACCAUUUAUUUUUCAGAAAUAAAGAAUUGUAGUUCAAAAACUUGCAUGCAAGAGUCAGGAUCUUAAUCUCUUUAUAGUCUAUAUAUAUGUUAAAGAGGUGGCAAAUGAACGAGUUAGCUUAAAUUUGGAUAGUCAAUUCAAUAAGGAUCAUGAACCAGCUAGUCCAAAAUUUAUUUGGGUCAAAAUCGGUCAAAUAACAUGUCAUGACCCAACCGGCUCAACAUGAUGUGACCUCCAAUUUUAUUAGACCUCCAAUUUACUUAUUUAUUCUUGCUUUUUUGAAAAAGAAAAGUGAAAGCUAAUGUAUUUUUUUAAAAAUUAUCAGCUUAAUUAAGUUCUUCAAAUUUUAUAUAAUUUCCAAUCUUCAAAUUUGAUUCUAGCUAAAAUCAUCCCUCAAUUAUGGCUCAAAACUAGAGUACGUCCUUCUCUAAUAAUAGUGAACAAAAAACAUCCCUUAGCUAUCCAAAAAAGGCAAGAAUCAUCCUUCCGUUAAUUUUCAUUAAGAAACUAACAGCUACAACCAAAACAUGUGUCAAGCACGUGACUUCAACCCCUAGCCCCCCACAAAAUCUCACUAUUUUAUCCUUCCUGAUCAUCUCGUCUUCAUCCUUCACCAAAGCUUAGGCUUCUAAAACUUAUUUUUUUUCAAUGUAAUAAAUAUUAAAAUAUUCAACUUCUAUAUUAAACAAAAGACUUUCUAGAAUUUUGUAAAUUCAGUAAUAUAGUAUAAGUUAAUCUGAAAGCUAUUGUAUAUGAUAUUAUCAAAUGCUUAAAGAAUCUAUAAUAUCAAUAAUACCAUUGAUGGGUGUGGAUGAUUGACCUCUUAAACUUCGAGUCAGCAUUUAUCUAUUGUUUCUUAUGCUUCAACCCACAAGAUCUGGUGCUUUUAAGAAUGAGGAAGAUAUUUAGUCUGAGAAAUAGCAAAAUACUACUCCGGGCGAAAAAAGCCAAAACUUUUUUAAUGGCUAUUGUUGCUUUUACCUUGUUUGUGAGGCGUGGGAAGAUAAGUAAUGGAGAAUAGCCCUAGCUUCAAUUCUAGUUCAAGAAAAUAACUUAUCUUGUUGCUCUAGUUAUUUUAUGAACUUAUCUUCAAUCGUAUAGCUUUUGAAGCCUAAUAUGAAAGAGCGGGAUAGCUUCGGGAGGGAUAGAAUCAGGAGUAUAGGGAGAUCUUGGGGGAAGUCAUGUGCUUGGCACAAGUUUUGGUUGUAGAAGGAUGAUUCUUGCCCCUUUUUUAUUAGUUAAGAGAUGUUUUUUAUUCACUAUUAUUACACAAGGAUGUACCAUGAAGGAUGAUUUUAGCCAAAAACUCUUUAGGUUUGUGUGCAUCUUGACCUGUUGUGUUACACUAUUCUGUCCCUUUUGACCCAAUAAUUUAAUGGGUCAUUUCGGGUUCAACCCAUUGGAUCAAGCCAACAAAGGGGAUAUAAUCCAACCGUUUAAACUCGGACGAGUUGCUAAAAAAUGGGUUGAUUUUGCCACCUAUAAAUUAUGUUAUGUGCCUGCUUAUCUAGUAAUUGUCUAGUUUUAUUUAAGAUGCCCUAGCAAUUAAAAUGUUACUCAUUGGACUUGUCCAUUUUUAGGCAAAGCAAGGAACAUAUUCUUCCCAUUCGACAUAUCUAAUGACACUGCAAUGGAAGUGGCAGUGGAAAUGGUGAAGGAGUUAGACAUAACAGAUUGGGAUCCUCUUCAAAUUGCUGAUAUGAUUGACCAGGAAAUUUCUGCUUUAAUUCCAACAUGGAAGAAUUCACAGAACUCUGUUCAGAAUUAUGAACAGCAGCAUAGCUUCAACUACGUAGAAGAUGAUGACGAAAACCAUCGCAAUCUUUUCUAUUACAUUUCCUCCCAUUCUUCUUCUCAACUUUCUCUCCCUGGUCUACUCCCUUCAUAUCAUCAAGAAAAAUUGGACCAUGAUUGGCUUCAAGGUUUGUAUCGGUUUCUUUUUUCAUGAUUGUGAAGUAAUUUACGCGUCACAUAAAAAUAAUUGAACUUUUAACCAUUAUGGCGAUAAAAUCAGUAUGUUUGUCAUUAUAGGGGAUAAAGUAGGGUGAGUUUACCAUUAUAAUGUAAAGUUUAGUUACUUUAAUGUGACAAAAGAUAUAUAGUUCUGCAACUUUACCGUCAUAAUAGGUAAAAGUUUAUUGAGUUUACUGGUAUAGAAAGUAAAAUUCAAUUACUUUAAUGUCACAAAAAAUAACUUUGUGACUCUACUGUCAUAUGUGAUAAGAUUCAGUAAUCCUACGUGAAAUUAAUUUGAUAUCUAUCUGCAACUUCUCAAUGUCCCGUGUUGCAGAUGAGUUGAAACCGUAUGAUGAUUCAAGUUCUCAAUGCUCGAUGAACUCCUAUGGAUCCUACAACAACUUAAACUUCUGUUCCCUUCAAGAAGAUGAUGCUGAUUUGAACUACAAGAAAGCAGAAUCUCAGUACUGUACUGAUCAGAAGACAAACAAAUGUACUACGAGGUUCUGUCCUGAAACAAACAUGUCCAAAAAUCAGAGCGCGCUAAUGAAUCAACAUCCAAAAUUGACUAAGGUAAAAUCGCUAGUUGAUAUCCGUAGUCAAUUGAUGCAUCGUUCUCUUGUAGAAGAGAUAAAUAAGAGGCGCUUGUUCAACACUGUUGGUGCUGUUGAGAAUAUUGGCUAUCACGAUCCAGCCUUCAAGAAAAGCCAUGGCUUAGGUUGGUGACCUUCAUAUAUGCUCGUCAAAGGUUAUCCCGAUGGUUAAUGUUGAAUGUGUAAACAAAGAUCUCACACCAUGUUAAAAGUACCUUUAGACUGGCUUAGCCCAAAUAAAACGAACAGAAUGUGAUCUCUCUUCCGUCAAGUCCUUUGGGACUUGAAGACAAUGAUGAAAUAUUUUUACUCAUCGUCUGAUUGUAAGAUAUUAUUGAAUCUCAAAACUUUCAAGUUUAUGUUUAUGUGAACUGCAGUUCUCUGCCAUAAAUAUUUGUUGUAAACUUGUGACAAUAUUCAACUUUUUCAUUUUGGUUUAGCUCAAUGCCUCAACUGAAGAGUAAACACGAAGUCCUCAAAUAUCGGAUACUUCCUGAAAUGGAAUACAUAAUGGUCAUCACCAGAUAAAAGGUCACAUAUCAAGUCAGGAAGACUCAUAAGUAUGUUAACUCCUUAUCAAAUAUUUCUCACGAUUCUGCCGAGGCGGAUGACCGAUCCCAUAAUAGUAAUGGCACGAUUUCCUGUCAUAGCGUAUGGUCUGAUCCCAUAAUAAUAGUAUACACUACCGAGGUCGUACGGUCCGAUCCAUAGAUGCAUAUCAUAAUACUAUCGAGGCGAACGACCCGAUACCAUAAUGGUACUGCUGAGGCAUUCAGCCCGGGCCCAUAGGAAUACUGAAACUUGACGGGUCAUUGGCCCCACUCACGAAUAUACGUGUGAGUUAUGAAAUUUGAGAGACUUUUGAACAAAUUCGUCCAAUCGGGAGAAAUUCAUAAAAGAAAGUAUAAUUUCCACUACUAAUAAAUUAGCUCGUCAAGUGUCUAAAAUAGCAAGUCCAAUGCCUUACUCAAAUCUAGUCCCAGGCUAAGUUACAAUUUAAAAUAUUUAAUCAUGCAAGAAUAACUCAAAUAGUAUAAUUAAAAUAUGGUAUGCGUCUAAGUUUACAUGAACAUAAUCAGAAAUUCUAGCAAACGCACGGGCACUCGUCACCUCAUAUGAGCGUAGCUCCCAUAACACGUAGCACAUAACAAAUAUAGCACCUACAGGGUAAAUUUCCCCUCACAGGGUUAGAAAGCAGACUUACCUCGCUCCGAAAUCCGAUAACCGACUCCAACGCCUCUCUAACACCUCAAACCAAUGCCAAACAAUCCGAAACUAGUCAAAAAAAUGUGCAAACCAAUCAAAAUAUGCUCAAAGACUCAUAAUUUAACAAUUAAAAAUAAUUUCCAACUCCACAAGAAAAGUCAACAAAAUCAUACCCCGAGCCCGUGCGUCUGGAUUCCAAAAAUUAUCGAAGAUAAAUAUUACCAAUAGCACCACUAACUCAAAUAUAUAAUUUAUUUCCAAUUUCAUGCCAAUUUCGUGGUAAAAAUCUAAAAUUAUCAUUUCUAGGUCUUCUUCCAAUAUUCAGCAAUUUCGACCAAUUUUUAUAUUAAAAUCCAUAUAUAAUCUAUGUAUUUAACUCACAAUGGGUAUGAAUCACUUACCUUGGGACGGAUGAUAAAAAAGCCCCUUCAAAUUCGCCCCAAAAUCAACUCCAAUGAGAGAAAUGAAAUAAAAAUAAGUCAAGUCCCGAUUUCAAUUCUUAUACACUGGCUAGUUGCCCUUCGCGAUCGUGAAGGCCAAAUCAGCCACGCCCAGCUCACUCUACGCGAGAGGGAAGGCCAAAU
rnacentral:lncRNA from 1 species